UCACCAUCCAUCUGCUCCAAUGCCGUCGGAACUGUAACUCAUGUUUGAUCACACCAUUAAAGAUCUCGCCACUGUUCUUAUCCUCUCUCUCUGUUUUUUUGCUUUUCACGAUCUCUGGAAAAUCAUGGAGGAUCUCACCGAGGAUCAGAGGUAGUGACGCAAACCAUGCAUGGAUGAUGCAUCAUAUGCGCCGUUGUCACGACUCACGAGAGCCAGGUUUGUUGCUUCUCGCUUAGUUUCCUAUUUGAUAUCUUGGAACCUUGGAUUUUUAAUUCUUAGCGUAACUUGCUGCACAAAAAAAGGUCUCUUUGAGUUAGGUCAAUCAAUAUUUAGUUUUCUAAACGCAGUUUCAUCGGAGGAACUAGAGUUUGCAAAUUGUAGUAGUUUUACGAAAUUGACCUAACCUGUAGUUUGUCUUGUCCGUUAUCACUUUGUUUCAUAAUUAGUUUUCUUCUUGUUAUUGUAGGUUCCUAUUCUUGAUUCGCCAAAUUAAUCAGUGGGUGCAGCCCCAAGACUGUUUGGUUUCACUGGAAUGAUAGACAACACAUUUUGCUAUUGCUUGGUAACGAAUUUCUAUCCUUUCUUUCUUUUUCCUUUUUAAAAAUUAAUAAUUAUUUAUUUGGUAGUAAAAAUGUUUUUUUCUUAUAGUCGGAUUUUUUCAAAAACUUUUUUGUGUUUGUUUAAAUUUUUUUUUUUAUUGUUUUGGAUACUAAAUUUAUAUAAUGAUAAGAAAACUAACCGGAUUUUGGAUCCAGCAUUAGUCGUUAGUGAUUCCAAACAUUCAACUUGUUUUUCCUAUUAUUAUGUAGAUUUAGCAUUCAAGUUUUUAAUUCGGAUUCUUAAAAAUAGUUUUUGAAAUUUUGAUUUUGUUUCUUUUCGAAUUUUUUUCUUGUAUUUGUUUUGUUUAAAUUUUUUUUAUUGUUUUGGAUACUAGUUACAUAAUGAUAUGAAAACUAACCGGAUUUUGGAUCCAGCAUUAGUCGUUAGCGAUUCCAAACAUUCAACUUGUUUUCCUAUUAUUAUGUAGAUUUAGCAUUCAAAUUUUUGCAAACAAACCACCAAAAAGGUUGGUAGAUAAGUAUGAGGGUUUGCAAUUCUUGAAACGGAUGAAACAAGGAAAGAUUCAGGGGAGCAAAAUUCGAACUAUGUAGGGAGAGAGCAAUGAGUCGUCGGCUUUUAAGAUGGCACUUGAUUCUUUCCCAACGACAACAAUUGCUGUUUCUAGAAAGAUGGACAGAAUCAGGUGAUACCGAGAUCAAAAAG
rnacentral:lncRNA from 1 species